CUUAGUGGCGGACGGGUGAGUAACGCGUGGGUAACCUGCCUUGCACUGGGGGAGUAACACUUAGAAAUAGGUGCUAAUACCGCAUAAGCGCACGGUCCUGCAUGGGACAGUGUGAAAAACUCCGGUGGUGCAAGAUGGACCCGCGUCUGAUUAGCUGGUUGGCGGGGUAAAGGCCCACCAAGGCGACGAUCAGUAGCCGGCCUGAGAGGGUGGACGGCCACAUUGGGACUGAGACACGGCCCAAACUCCUACGGGAGGCAGCAG
rnacentral:rRNA from 1 species